rnacentral:rRNA from 1 species
UACGGGGGGGGCAAGCGUUGUUCGGAAUUACUGGGCGUAAAGGGCUCGUAGGUGGCCAACUAAGUCAUGCGUGAAAUCCCUCGGCUUAACCGGGGAACUGCGUCUGAUACUGGAUGGCUUGAGUUUGGGAGAGGGAUGCGGAAUUCCAGGUGUAGCGGUGAAAUGCGUAGAUAUCGUAAGGAAGACCAGUGGCGAAGGCGGGUCUCUGGACAGUUCCUGACGCUGAGGCACGAAGGCCAGGGGAGCAAACGGG